rfam:Gordonia rhizosphera NBRC 16068 DNA, contig: GORHZ102.
CGGAGCGGGUGGGUCGAGGCCUCGGCCCGGUGCGACCCUGGCGUACUUCCCCAACGCCAGGUGCGAGAUCGGGCCGAGACCCCGCCUCAUCCGGGAACCGCA